ACGACCUUACUUGAACAGGAUCUGUUCUAUAGGAUCGUACCUCUGUGUCCUUGACUUCUAAGGAGACAGGAAUUUAAACCUGGUGGAUGAAUCAUAGCCAUGCGAUCAGAGCGUGAUUAACGGCUGGUGAUCUUCGGGUCACCAUGGCUGUAGAUGAUCGUUCUCAGCUUGGGUCCCCCCAAGUCUGGGGUGGUCGCUUGGCUGUCUGACAGGUU
rnacentral:snoRNA from 1 species